rnacentral:lncRNA from 1 species
UGUUUAUUUAUGCUUUUAUAGAGUUGAACUAGAAUACUCUCAAAAAUAUCAAGAGAAUGGUACUUUUGAAUUUUUAACCGUUGGAUGAAGAGAUGUAGGGUUGAAACGAUGGUGGUAGAUCGUGGUAAGUAGAAUAGUGUUUGAUUCAAAAGAUAUUAGUAAUUAAGGAGUAGAUUUAAAGACUAGAAACCUAGAAGUACCAAGGGCUUGGUGCUUCUAAAUAUAUUCUAACUCAAUUUUG